GUGCCAGCAGCCGCGGUAAUACAGAGGUCCCAAGCGUUGUUCGGAUUUACUGGGCGUAAAGGGUGCGUAGGUGGUCGGGUAAGUCUCAUGUGAAAUCUCCAAGCUUAACUUGGAAAUGGCAUGGGAUACUAUUCGGCUAGAGGAUUGGAGGGGGGACUGGAAUUCCCGGUGUAGCAGUGAAAUGCGUAGAUAUCGGGAGGAACACCAGUGGCGAAGGCGAGUCCCUGGACAAUUCCUGACGCUGAGGCACGAAAGCUAGGGGAGCAAACAGGAUUAGAAACCCUGGUAGUCC
rnacentral:rRNA from 1 species